GCGUGCUUACACAUGCAAGUCGAACGAUGAUCCGGUUUCGGCCGGUGAUUAGUGGCGAACGGGUGAGUAACACGUGGGUGACCUGCCCUGCACUCUGGGAUAAGCCUGGGAAACUGGGUCUAAUACUGGAUAUGACUGACGGUUGCAUGAUCGUUGGUGGAAAGCUUUUGCGGUGUGGGAUGGGCCCGCGGCCUAUCAGCUUGUUGGUGGGGUGAUGGCCUACCAAGGCGACGACGGGUAGCCGGCCUGAGAGGGUGACCGGCCACACUGGGACUGAGACACGGCCCAGACUCCUACGGGAGGCAGCAGUGGGGAAUAUUGCACAAUGGGCGAAAGCCUGAUGCAGCGACGCCGCGUGAGGGAUGACGGCCUUCGGGUUGUAAACCUCUUUCAGCAGGGAAGAAGCGAGAGUGACGGUACCUGCAGAAGAAGCACCGGCUAACUACGUGCCAGCAGCCGCGGUAAUACGUAGGGUGCAAGCGUUGUCCGGAAUUAUUGGGCGUAAAGAGCUCGUAGGCGGCCUGUCGCGUCGAUUGUGAAAGCCCAGGGCUUAACCCUGGGUCUGCAGUCGAUACGGGCAGGCUAGAGUUCGGCAGGGGAGACUGGAAUUCCUGGUGUAGCGGUGGAAUGCGCAGAUAUCAGGAGGAACACCGGUGGCGAAGGCGGGUCUCUGGGCCGAUACUGACGCUGAGGAGCGAAAGCGUGGGGAGCGAACAGGAUUAGAUACCCUGGUAGUCCACGCUGUAAACGGUGGGCACUAGGUGUGGGCGACAUUCCACGUCGUCCGUGC
rnacentral:rRNA from 1 species